GGGAAAGCAACGGAGACAAAAGAUUGCUAUUAACCUACAGAUGCGGGCUACUGCAUGGCUCAUUGCAAGAUUUGUCACAGCACUGGGCCAAUGGAGUGUUGGUCAGACUAGAGGAGACCACCUCUUUUCCAGGGUAAGAGGGCAAUUUGGUCUCCAUGCUCAUUUAGUCCCAAGACUUCU
rnacentral:sRNA from 14 species